rnacentral:rRNA from 1 species
GUAAGGAAUAUUGGACAAUGGACGCAAGUCUGAUCCAGCCAUGCCGCGUGAAGGAUUAAGGUCCUCUGGAUUGUAAACUUCUUUUAUAAGGGACGAAAAAAGGCUUUUCUAAGUCGUCUGACGGUACCUUAUGAAUAAGCACCGGCUAACUCCGUGCCAGCAGCCGCGGUAAUACGGAGGGUGCAAGCGUUAUCCGGAUUCACUGGGUUUAAAGGGUGCGUAGGCGGGCAGGUAAGUCAGUGGUGAAAUCCUAGAGCUUAACUCUAGAACUGCCAUUGAUACUAUCUGUCUUGAAUAGUGUGGAGGUAAGCGGAAUAUGUCAUGUAGCGGUGAAAUGCUUAGAUAUGACAUAGAACACCUAUUGCGAAGGCAGCUUACUACGCAUAUAUUGACGCUGAGGCACGAAAGCGUGGGGAUCAAACAGGAUUAGAAACCCCGGUAGUCC